rnacentral:rRNA from 1 species
AUUGAACGCUGGCGGCAGGCCUAACACAUGCAAGUCGAACGAGUGGCGGACGGGUGAGUAAUGUCUGGGAAACUGCCUGAUGGAGGGGGAUACCUACUGGAAACGGUAGCUAAUACCGCAUACCAUCGGAUGUGCCCAGAUGGGAUUAGCUAGUAGGUGGGGUAAAGGCUCACCUAGGCGACGCUCCCUAGCUGGGCUGAGAGGAUGACCAGCAACACUGGAACUGAGACACGGUCCAGACUCCUACGGGAGGCAGCAGGGGGGAAUAUUGCAAAAGGGGCGCAAGCCUGAUGCAGCCAUGCCGCGUGUAUGAAGAAGGCCUUCGGGUUGGAAAGUACUUUCAGCGGGGAGGCGUUACCCGCAGAAGAAGCACCGGCUAACUCCGUGCCAGCAGCCGCGGUAAUAC